CUUUAAUUAGCUUAUUAAUAAAGUUUAUGUCUCUUAAUCAUACGAAAGUAAAAGAUUACUAUUAAAGA
rnacentral:tRNA from 1 species